rnacentral:tRNA from 1 species
GGGGGUGUAGCUCAGCUGGGAGAGCACCUGCUUUGCAAGCAGGGGGUCGUCGGUUCGAAUCCGAUCAUCUCCACCA